AGCGGCGGACGGGUGAGUAAUGCUUAGGAAUCUGCCUAUUAGUGGGGGACAACAUUCCGAAAGGAAUGCUAAUACCGCAUACGCCCUACGGGGGAAAGCAGGGGAUCUUCGGACCUUGCGCUAAUAGAUGAGCCUAAGUCAGAUUAGCUAGUUGGUGGGGUAAAGGCCUACCAAGGCGACGAUCUGUAGCGGGUCUGAGAGGAUGAUCCGCCACACUGGGACUGAGACACGGCCCAGACUCCUACGGGAGGCAGCAGUGGGGAAUAUUGGACAAUGGGCGAAAGCCUGAUCCAGCCAUGCCGCGUGUGUGAAGAAGGCCUUUUGGUUGUAAAGCACUUUAAGCGAGGAGGAGGCUACUUAGAUUAAUACUCUAGGAUAGUGGACGUUACUCGCAGAAUAAGCACCGGCUAACUCUGUGCCAGCAGCCGCGGUAAUACAGAGGGUGCGAGCGUUAAUCGGAUUUACUGGGCGUAAAGCGUGCGUAGGCGGCUUUUUAAGUCGGAUGUGAAAUCCCUGAGCUUAACUUAGGAAUUGCAUUCGAUACUGGGAAGCUAGAGUAUGGGAGAGGAUGGUAGAAUUCCAGGUGUAGCGGUGAAAUGCGUAGAGAUCUGGAGGAAUACCGAUGGCGAAGGCAGCCAUCUGGCCUAAUACUGACGCUGAGGUACGAAAGCAUGGGGAGCAAACAGGAUUAGAUACCCUGGUAGUCCAUGCCGUAAACGAUGUCUACUAGCCGUUGGGGCCUUUGAGGCUUUAGUGGCGCAGCUAACGCGAUAAGUAGACCGCCUGGGGAGUACGGUCGCAAGACUAAAA
rnacentral:rRNA from 1 species